UACGAAGGGGGCUAGCGUUGCUCGGAAUUACUGGGCGUAAAGCGCACGUAGGCGGCUUUGCAAGUCAGAGGUGAAAGCCCGGGGCUCAACCCCGGAAUUGCCUUUGAGACUGCAUCGCUAGAAUUGUGGAGAGGUAAGUGGAAUUCCGAGUGUAGAGGUGAAAUUCGUUAGAUAUUCGGAAGAAACACCAGUGGCGAAGGCGACUUACUGGACACAUAUUGACGCUGAGGUGCGAAAGCGUGGGGAGCAAACAGG
rnacentral:rRNA from 1 species